GACGAACGCUGGCGGCGUGCUUAACACAUGCAAGUCGAACGGAAAGGCCUCUUUCGGGGGGUACUCGAGUGGCGAACGGGUGAGUAACACGUGAGUAACCUGCCCUUGACUUUGGGAUAACUUCAGGAAACUGGGGCUAAUACCGGAUAGGAGCUCCUGCUGCAUGGUGGGGGUUGGAAAGUUUCGGCGGUUGGGGAUGGACUCGCGGCUUAUCAGCUUGUUGGUGGGGUAGUGGCUUACCAAGGCUUUGACGGGUAGCCGGCCUGAGAGGGUGACCGGCCACAUUGGGACUGAGAUACGGCCCAGACUCCUACGGGAGGCAGCAGUGGGGAAUAUUGCACAAUGGGUGGAAGCCUGAUGCAGCAACGCCGUGUGCGGGAGGACGGCCUUCGGGUUGUAAACCGCUUUCGCUCAUGACGAAGCUUUGUGUGACGGUAGUGGGUAAAGGAGCACCGGCUAACUACGUG
rnacentral:rRNA from 1 species